GUGUGUGUAUAUAAUGCAGUGUGUUUGUGUAGUGUGCAUUAUAUAAACACACUAAACAAACACACUGCAUUAUAUACACACACAC